GUUGGAAUUUUAGAAAUGACAAUGGGUAUAUUUAUUACAUUAACUAAAGCUUAUUUAUUUCUCUUCAUUUCUAUCACAAUAAGAUGGACUUUACCGAGGAUGAGAAUGGAUCAGAGGAAACAGAGGCGAAUGCAGUGCUCGUUGGCAUCAAGACGCUGUCGAGCAUUUUCAGGGGGCGUAUGA
rnacentral:rRNA from 1 species